AGAUGGCUGCAUUGGCGUAACCAGUCAAUGAUCGAUCGGCUGGAAAUCUCUGCAACGAUACCAGGCAAAAUUAACUCUUGAGAUACUCUUCGUGUGUCUCACGGGCCCUUCAGUCACUUGAAAUUAUCGACGAGCGCGUACUUAGAAAUAAUACCGUUGAAAAGUGGAGCUUAAGUGCCAAAGUACGACAAUGUCAUAUCAACAGCCGAUAAAGCAGAGACUCGAGAGUAGUAUUACAUGGAGACGUCCUCGUGGCCAGUGGUUUUGUUAUAUCGUGCCGGUGUUUAGAAUUUCGUGCAAGCGAGCCCGGGAACUCCUUGCCUGCAUCGAUGACGAAACCAAGGCAUACGAGGAGAGAACUCUGGACUGAAGUCUGACUUGGUGGGAGCGGCUGAAGGCCGGCGUUUUGUAACAACGAACAUACCGGACUCCGGAACGCCUACGACGAAAUUUUGGCGUUACUCAU